UGUCUUUGCGUUCUGCUGGUUUUCUUUGUGUUUUGGAUGCUUUCAGGCGUUCUACUGGAGGAGAUUGGAGAUACGAGAACAACAUGACUACUGCAACUAAUCCUAAUCAAGAAGGACCGAAGCUUGAAGAUUUCUUGGGCGGUUACUCCAACUCUACUCAAGAAAACAACAAUGUCUAUUUCCAAAGCAACCAACAACAAUCUCUCCAUCAAAGAGAGGAGAAUCCCGACAAUGGUUGUGGGAUCAACAUGAACGUACCUCCAACCUUCAAUACCAAUGGCGA